UACGUAGGGUGCGAGCGUUGUCCGGAAUUAUUGGGCGUAAAGAGCUCGUAGGCGGUCUGUCGCGUCGAAUGUGAAAACCCGGGGCUCAACUCCGGGCUUGCAUUCGAUACGGGCAGGCUAGAGUUCGGUAGGGGAGUCUGGAAUUCCUGGUGUAGCGGUGAAAUGCGCAGAUAUCAGGAGGAACACCGGUGGCGAAGGCGGGUCUCUGGGCCGAAACUGACGCUGAGGAGCGAAAGCGUGGGGAGCAAACAGG
rnacentral:rRNA from 1 species